GACGAACGCUGGCGGCGUGCUUAACACAUGCAAGUCGAACGGAAAGGCCCUGCUUUUGUGGGGUGCUCGAGUGGCGAACGGGUGAGUAACACGUGAGUAACCUGCCCUUGACUUUGGGAUAACUUCAGGAAACUGGGGCUAAUACCGGAUAGGAGCUCCUGCUGCAUGGUGGGGGUUGGAAAGUUUCGGCGGUUGGGGAUGGACUCGCGGCUUAUCAGCUUGUUGGUGGGGUAGUGGCUUACCAAGGCUUUGACGGGUAGCCGGCCUGAGAGGGUGACCGGCCACAUUGGGACUGAGGGACGGCCCAGACUCCUACGGGAGGCAGCAGGGGGGAAUAUUGCACAAUGGGAGGAAGCCUGAUGCAGCAACGCCGGGGGCGGGAAGACCGCCUUCGGGUUGUAAACCGCUUUCGCCUGUGACGAAGCGGGAGUGACGGUAAUGGGUAAAGAAGCACCGGCUAACUACGUG
rnacentral:rRNA from 1 species